rnacentral:rRNA from 1 species
CGCUUCCACGCACGGGUUUGGCUGCAUUCUGAGCCACAUCAGCUCCAUUCAGCCACACGGAGCGAAAGUGCCAUCGGAAAGACGAUUUCAUUUUGCCCUCCGCUGUUAUAUCGACGCCCACCAUUAGCCAGCAGCCUAGCACCACCAUCUUCCGCUCUCCCCUCCCCCCGGAACCCCCUCCCCCCAUCUCCUCCACCUGUUGUCGCUCGCUUGUCCCGGCCUAGGGUUUCGCCUCCACCCGUCCCCGGCUCUCGCCUCAGAUCUCGACGCCGGCGACCCCUGAUCCUCCUUAGUCGUCCGCCGCCGACCCCGCCGAGUUCCGAUUCGCCACUCACCUCACGCCACACCACCGCGUCCUCCAGCCUCUGGACGCGCUCGCGGGGGACAGAUCUAGGGUUUGGGGCCUUGCUUGGUGCAUGAGAAGGGCACCAGGGUCUUGACGGCAUGGAGGUGGAAGCGGCGAGGAGGGAUGCGUCGGCGCUUGACCCGGAGCUGCUGCAGCUGCCAGAGCUCGCGCCGGGCGCGCUCCGGGAGAACUCAAGCAUAGCCGAGGCACUCUACUUGCAGUGGCUCGUGCUGCCUGAGUCGUCCAAGCUGGUGAAAUCUUUGAUUGAAGAUGCAAAAGCCGGUGCCACACUGAAUGUUGCUGGGAGCUCUGCUAGCACAAAUGCCGCUUCAAGUAGUUCUUUGCCGUCAAUGUUCCCUGCUGGUAGUGCCCCCCCACUUUCUCCCAGGAGCACUGCUGGCUCUCCCCGUGUUAUGAGACGAGGAUCUAGUGCUGGACCAUCAUCCUUGGGAUCUCCUCUAAAAUUAGUCAGUGAACCUGUGAGAGAAGUUAUACCCCAGUUUUACUUCAAACAUGGGCGCCCUCCACCAAAAGAUUUGAGGGAGCAGUGUUUGUCUAGACUAGAUCACCUUUUUUUUGCCGGGGAAGGACUCCAGAUUCAAGAAUUCAGACCAGUUAUAAAAGACAUAUGCAAGUUGCCAUCGUACCUCUCUGGUGUUCUUUUCAAGAAGAUUGACGCCACUUGCUCUGGAACUGUAACAAGGGACGCAUUUAUCGAUUACUGGUUUAAUGACAAUAAGAUCACAAUGGACACUGCUACCCAGAUAUUUGAAAUACUAAGAAAGCCAGGCUACAGUUAUCUCACUCAGGAGGAUUUUAAGCCUGUUCUAAAAGAACUCCUGGCAAGUCACCCAGGUUUAGAGUUUUUACAAGGCACUCCUGAGUUUCAGGACAGAUAUGCUGAGACUGUAAUAUACAGAAUCUUCUACUCCAUAAAUAGAUCUGGAAAUGGUCAUCUUACCCUUAGAGAGCUAAAACGUGGGAAUUUAGUAGCUGCAAUGCAGCAACUGGAUGAGGAAGAGGAUAUCAACAAAAUACUGAGAUAUUUCUCAUAUGAGCAUUUUUAUGUAAUCUACUGCAAAUUUUGGGAGCUGGACACAGAUCAUGAUUUCUUGAUUGAUAAAGAGAACCUUAUCAGAUAUGGAAAUCAUUCGUUGACCUAUAGAAUAGUCGAUAGAGUCUUUUCACAGGUCCCAAGGAAAUUCACAAGCAUGACCGAAGGAAAGAUGGGUUAUGAGGAUUUUGUUUACUUCAUCUUGUCAGAGGAAGAUAAAUCAUCUGAGCCUAGCCUUGAGUACUGGUUUAAGUGCAUUGAUCUUGAUGGCAAUGGUAUUUUAACUACCAAUGAAAUGCAGUUUUUCUAUGAGGAGCAGUUGCAUCGUAUGGAGUGCAUGGCACAGGAACCUGUGCUUUUUGAGGACAUACUAUGCCAAAUGAUUGAUAUGAUUGGACCAGAGAAUGAGACAUAUUUUACAUUGAGGGACUUGAAAAAGUGUAAACUCUCGGGAAAUAUAUUCAAUAUCUUAUUUAAUCUGAACAAAUUUAUGGCAUUUGAAACUCGUGAUCCAUUCCUCAUUCGCCAGGAGCGUGAAAAUCCAACUCUAACUGAGUGGGAUCGGUUCGCCCAUAGGGAAUAUAUCAGGCUGUCGAUGGAAGAGGAUGGUGAAGAUGCUUCAAAUGGAAGUGGUGAUGUGUGGGACGAGUCACUUGAAGCUCCAUUCUGAAUCAUGCCUCACACUCCUAAUUGGUUGGAUAUGGAUGAAAUUGGUUGGGAAGUUGAAGAAGUGUAAAGGUUUUGGCUAGCCUGUGGAGGUCAUUGCAGGCUCGAAGCAGUUUCAGUAACACCAAAGACUACUUAUGAGUUUUACUGUGCAGGUCUGAUUUGAUAUUAUCAGUUGUCCAGUUGUGCAAACAUUUUUGCUUGCCAGGAAGAAUGUGGAAGUUGAUGUGAGGGCCUCCUGCAUAUUGACAAGGCAACAACCUCAACAGUCUCAAAGCUAAAGUGGGGAAACUUCUGUGGUCUACCUUUCUCUCAUUGUGUUCUGAUUGUUGCGUUAGGGGGGGGCAGUUUAUUCAAUUGCUGUGCUCGAAUUUUGGAGCUGAACUGUUGAUGUUUGGCUGCCAUUUUCCUUGUUAAUCUGUGGGUGUGCGAGCAAGCAAUGCCAUCAUUAACUUUGAUCAUCGUUUGUAACUUCCUGGUUCUGAUUUCUGUUCAGUUUGGUAUGCGUUUGUUGCGAUUCUUGGUACAUUUUGGUAGGUGGGGAGGGGUCUCAAAACAUGGAUGUGAGUUCGUCAUUUGUAACAUUAACAAGUAACUAUGCAUCAGGUGCAUAAAAUCUAAACAGGAAAGUAGUUUCCAUUGUCAAUCCAGAUUUUGUCGUAGCAUAAAUUUAUAGGAUGUUUCAUUUGUAUAUGCUGCGAUACUGGCAUUUGGUAUUUUGCUUUUCAACUUGUGGAACUCUGCCGUUGUCCAAAGCAUUCUUAUUAGUAAAGUGCCAGUUAUGGUACCGUGAUGAAAUUUGUUGUACUAUGUCAUGUAUGCAAACAUGUUGUACAAUACAUUUCACACGGAACUACAUCUUUUUU